AUUGAACGCUGGCGGCAUGCCUUACACAUGCAAGUCGAACGGCAGCACGGGAGCAAUUCUGGUGGCGAGUGGCGAACGGGUGAGUAAUACAUCGGAACGUGCCCAGUAGUGGGGGAGUAGCCCGGCGAAGACCGGAUUAAUACCGCAUACGACCUACGGGUGAAAGCGGGGAGUCGCAAGACCUCGCGCUAUUGGAGCGGCCGAUGUCAGAUUAGCUU
rnacentral:rRNA from 1 species